GGAAGGAUGGCAGAGUGGUCGAAUGCGGCGGUCUUGAAAACCGCUGAACCAGAGAUGGUUCCGGGGGUUCGAAUCCCUCUCCUUCCGCCA
rnacentral:tRNA from 1 species